GAGGAGGCCUGUAAGAAACACAGAGCAAAAUAAAGACGACAGUACACACACUAAGCCCAGCACAGCCAUCAUUAGCUCUAACCUUCGUCAAGGUAUCACCAGUCUAGUUCAGACUCAGUUCAGAGAUGAUUCUAUGACACAUUAUCCCCCCCCCCCCUCCACCCUGGAGUGUUUAUAAAGCAAACCCCAGUUAUCACAGCUCAUCACUUGGCCUAAAACUACCUACGCGUACAUCUCUGGUGGAUAUAUGCACGUGUAAAACAAAAAUAUUGCAAGUAUGGCUUAUGGCCUGGAGGUAUUCCGAGAAUGUAAUCUCUACGUAGUCUUAAGAAUAUUUGACAUACUUUAGGUGAAAGGGAAGAUGUGUGAACAGAAAUGUUCAUGGUUUUAUUUGUGUCAGCCCCAGAUGGAAAGCGAUGAUACUAAGACAGCAAGGGAUCCUGGGUUAUAGAACAGCUGUUCGAUAUCAGCCACAUGUUCGUGAAAAUGUGAGAACUACAUAGUCACACGGGGAGUUGCUGCUCUAUGUGUGGGGAUUUGGGAGGUCCCUGCUGGUGGCCUUGCAGCUGUGCAGGCACAGAGCAAGUGACUCUACCUCAGUAGCCACAGCCAGCUGAGCCGAGGGGUGUCUACCUGAGCUAGGGGCCACCAGUCUACAGUCUGCUCAGCCUAGCUAACUGCAUGGAAGAGACAUGAAGAGAUCUGGAGGCAGAGCUCAGUGGUACAGUGUAAGGACCUGGAUUCAGUUCUCAGCUUCUGAAAAUAAAUAAAGAAAAGCCCGAGAGGUUUGGAAUGCUGGAGAGCUGUAAGAUCUCAUAGUUGGCAGGGAUGGUUACUGGUGAUAGGCAGUGGAAGUUGUGAGAGUACAGAGCACAGACACGGCUGUCAGAGGAGACCUUCCGCUCACCCAGGCUCCUCACAGCAGCUUCAGUUGCCCGUGGUUUUCCACGUCCCAGCCCAAUUCCUGUGAAGCUUGGCUGACUUAGUUCCUUACUUCCUGCCCUUGGAUUUCUGCAGGAUUAGGCAUGUCUGCACACACACACACACACACACACACACACACACACACACACACACACACACGGUGAGACAGAGCACAUACUUACACACAUAGCACACACACAUACACACACAUACACACACACACGGCUGGGGGUGAGGGGGGGGUAGAGCACAUGCACACAGCACACAGACACACACACACACACACACACACACACACACACACACACACACAGACACACACACACACACACACACACUGCCUUACCUUUUUAUUCUGAGAUAAUUUGACUUGACUGAGUAAAUGUUCCCUGCAACCAAAAUAGCCUCAAGACAAAAGAGUUAAUAAUAUAAUGUUGCGUGGAAAAAAGAAAGCAGCAGUUUAACUAUGUAGUAUUUAUAGCCACAUGGAAUAAUGUCAUUAAAUCAAGUACUAAGAGUGAACAAAGAAAAUGAAAGCAAUUAAGUGUUAGGAUGGUAGAAUUAUGGGUAGUUCUUAUUUUUUGUGGCUGCUAUUUGUAGCAUAAGCUCUAAGAUACAUACAAACCCUAAGACUUUGUUUUAGUCUAACCCGAUCCUCUGGAAAGUAUAAUGUCAAAGCCCCAAAUGAGCCUCCCCUUCCCAGAACUGCCUCAGAUGCGAAGGCCUUCCAGAACUAUACUCAUGUUCGAAGGGAAGGUACUGGAUAUUAAACCCGGAGCCUUGUGCAUGCUGAGCAUGCAUUCUACUACCAGGACACACCCUCAGUCUCCUUUGGCCUCAGUUUUCAUUCAAGACACCGGAAAACUUCCAAGUAUGAGAGACAGAAAGACAUCACGUUCAUGAAGUUUGUCUGUUGGAGAAUAAUGGAAGACAAAAAGGCCACUGUGAGAGAAAUGGACUCCAACAGAACGCUAACAAGAAAGACGGAGAAAUGCAGAUAGUUCCUGGGGAUCUCAUGGAGGCAGAACCAACCUGGCUCCUGUGGAGUCAGAAGGAAGUGACCCUUGAAUGGAGUAACCCUAAGGUGGGAGCUGGGGACACUAAUUCAUAUAAACUAACAAGUGUGCUCCUUCACGGAGGAGGUGAUGGACAGGGGGCUUCCGUUCUCUUCCUUUUAGGUUCGGAACCCUCUCUAUAAGGGCACAUUUGACAGACAGCACAGACCACUCACUUUUGUGUAUCUCUCCUACCUUUGUUUACUACGUUUACAAGUGUCUUUUCUCAUGUCAGCCAGGUGGGGGCUUUGUUCUGUGUUCUUUGUUUUGAGAAGUGAGGUCUUACUAUGUAAGUCAGGCUGGCCUUGCACUCCCUGGAUUAAGCGGUCCUAAUACCUCGGUUUCCCUCCUGCUUAGGCCUGUAAGCGUACACUAUCACAUCUGGCUCAGUCAGGCGUUACUGAGAUUGUUACGUGCUCUAUACUGGAUUCAAGACCUUCUGUGUUUUGGGGGACACUGGCACCUUUUGAAGGAGAGCACACCAGUGCAGAGAACACAGGGAAAGGAAGUGUGCACUGAAAGAAAAGAGUCUGGGAUGGUUAAAAACAAAGGAGAGAGAAAGAGGGGAAAAAAAACCCCAGG